ensembl:lncRNA
CCUGAAUAUUCGUUAGAAGGACUAAUGCUGAAACUGAAGCUCCAGUACUUUGGCCACCUGAUGAGAAGAACCGACUCUUGGAAAAGACCCUGAUGCUGGGAAAGAUUGAGGGCAGGAGGAGAAGGGGGCGACAGAGAAUGAAAUGGUUGGAUGGUAUCAUCUACUUGACAGACAUGAGUUUGAACAAACUCUGGGAGAUAGUGAAAGAUAGGGAAGCGUGGCCUGCUGCAGUCCGUGGGGUUGCAAAGAGUUGGAUACAACUUGUUCAGUCGGAGCAACUGAACAACAUAACUUGUUGACUCAAGAUUCUGAGUCUGGCCUAGGAACUUGAACUCUGCCUGGCUCACUCAUUUGAUAAAUAUUUAUUAAGGGUCUUCUAUAGACCAAGGACUAAAGGUCCAGCCCAUGUUCUGUUGGGCUUCUCGAUCAUGUGGGGGUGUAACAAGUUACCAUGAACUUAUAUCAGUGAGUGAUGAGAGCUGUGGCAAGGUCAGAACACAGUGCUGUGGGGGUAAAAGAAGUCAGGGCCCCUGCAGGCCUGUCCCUGGAGGCUAUGUGGGGUUGCAAAAGAAGAAAUGGGCCUCCAGGAGUUCAAAAUUUCAGGGGCUUCAAACUCUUCACAAGAGUUGUGCAAAAUAAAAGCCAUUAUGAGAGAGCAAGAAUACAUGACUAUUUAUAAGAUUCAGCACAAUCUCUAUCAAAAUCCGAGUUGGCUUUUUGCAUCAAUCGACAAGUUGGUUUGAAAAUUCAAGUGGAAAUGCCAGGGAUCCUUUUUCUUGCAAAUGAGCAAAGUUGAAGGACUAACUGAGCAAUUUACGCUUUCUCUGUUUUCAUGAUUGGUAACAGGGGGAUCUUCAAGAGGAAGUGAGUGUGGCCCUGAGAUGACCAACACUUGAAAUCCUUUCUAAAUUUCUGGAGCAGAAUGAAAUCCUAAAAACUAGGUGUUAGGUUAUUUUCCUUUAAGUCUGCACAAUAUCAUAAAAACCAUACUCUGCCCACAAAUACCUUUGGUGCAUAAACUUGUGUAACGUUUUCC